GGGGGAGUGGGGGAGUCCCUCAGCCUGGAUUGGGAGAGGGCUCAGGCCAUGCUGAGGGACCCCACUGGUGCACA
rfam:Myotis davidii contig26644, whole genome shotgun sequence.